GUUGUACUCCCUUUGUUUCAAUUUUUUUGUCUUAAAUUUGUCAUACAAAUGUAUCUAGUCAUGUUUUAGUAUUUAUAUACAUCCAUUUCUAGACAAACUUAAGACAAGAAUUUUGAAACGGAGGGUGUAGAUA
rnacentral:pre_miRNA from 1 species